UGUAAAUGAGCAAAAAGACUUAGUCUAAAAGAGGCAUGUAAGCAAAGAGCAAGAAUAUACAGUAUUAAUGUAAAGAUUGUAAAAGUUGAUUGCAGAGUAACUGAUAUGAAGUUUGUAAAAAUGUGACGUACGUGAUGUGUGUUCCAGGCGGCGGUCAGAGCUGAGGCCUGCCGACUGCGCCGUGAUCCUUCUGUGAAAAAUGAAAAUGGAUAUAAGGUUUACAUAUGACACACUGCUUCCGGUGUGAUGGACAUGUGAGCGCAAGGAGUGAAGAGCCGGAGUUGGAGCGGCGUGCCGGUCCUGGUCCUGGUCCUGGUCUCCUGGUGGCGGGACAUCUGCAUUCAAAGAAGACACAAGCACAAAGUCAAAGUGUAAGUCCUGUACAUUGCAAUGAGAAGAACUCAAGAAACUGUUUCAUUUGAGCUGCUUGGAAGUUAAUGGAAGAACACAAAGGCAUUUGAUGUUAGUUAUUCUUGCUAGUUGUUCAGUGAUAUUGAAUUGAAUUGAAUUGAAGUUACCAGGAACGUUUGUAGCAUGUGGUCCCGUCCGUGCUGCCGCCAAGCCGAGGUGAAAGGUCAGACUGUCCAACAGGAGGUGGAUGGAUCCAAUUUGAUUUAUACAAGGGGGAACCCGGAUCGUACCAAGCGGAGGAGAGAACAGAGGGGUGUUUGGCUGCUGCCCAAAACAGCAGUUGUACAGGUUGUAUGUUGAAAUCAGCCAAUCACAUGAACUUUGAGGGCUGACAAUGAGAUGACAUUCACCUGCCUUCAAUGUAUGUACAUAUUCUAAUUACAUAUAAUACACUCGUUCUGAUGUUAGUAAUUAUUGAUUAUGGAUUUAAAAAAUGUAUAAAUCACAUAGUAAUAUAGUAGUCGAAUGCGCACGUGUUGGACAGGACGUGUUCGACAUGCUGGCAAAUAUUCACAUUUAGUCUUUGACGUCAGAGAGAGGAAAACAUUUAAAGGAGUUUUUAACUUUAAUUCUGUAUUAAAACAUUUAAAAUCAUUAUAUAUAUAUAUAUAUAUAAUAUAUAUAUAUAUAUAUAUAUAUAUAGAGAGAGAGAGAGAGAGAGAGAGAGAGAGAGAGAGACAGAGAGUUAUAUUUUUUUAAUUUAAAUUGUACUGCUUUGAUAAUAUGAAACAACUUAUACAAUACUGUACAUUUUCCUAAAUCCCUAUAAAGUAAACCAUUUGUAAACUUCAGUGGAUUGAUCCAGUUCUCAGAUUACAGAUUUACAUCCAAAAAAAAUGAAUGUACUAAAAUACUAAAGCGCCAGAUUUACAGGUCAUAGAGAAAUAUUCCACAUAACUUUACCCCACAGAGCUGAUGUUUCCUCAGUACGGAGGAGAAAGAAAAAGAAACAAAGCAAUUAUCCAAUUAAAUGUAUCUGGUUGCUUGCA